rnacentral:rRNA from 1 species
AAACUUUCAACAACGGAUCUCUUGGCUCUGGCAUCGAUGAAGAACGCAGCGAAAUGCGAUAAGUAAUGUGAAUUGCAGAAUUCAGUGAAUCAUCGAAUCUUUGAACGCACAUUGCGCCCGCCAGUAUUCUGGCGGGCAUGCCUGUUCGA